GUGGUUUUAGACAUACUUGUCAGUUUCUGUUGAAUUUGAGAAUGCUUCAAAGAAAGUAAUGACCUAUCUCUGUUGGGCAAGUCAGGCCUGGAAAGACUUUGAUUUAGGGCACUAAGUUCAUUUUUUAGGCGCUGUAUUUCACGCAUAUUCUGUAUGUCAGCCUUCAUAGCAGCAUCCAACUUGUCGACAUGUUGGGUAGCAUUCUUGAAAUCACAGAUGCGGAGUUGAUAGAAUAUGUGAAGGAGUUCGUUGUAAAAGAGCAAACCUAAGCAUUGUUCUCUUCUUUCAGAGCCCAAGGAAUCCCAAAGCACAUCACAUCUAUUAAGAGCAGACUGAACUAAAUUAUCAUCACACCAUUGCAUGAGGUGCACAUGUAGAACAGAAGUUGCAAAGAACAUCUGUAAUUCC
rnacentral:misc_RNA from 1 species